AUGCAGUCGAGCGGAUGACGGGAGCUUGCUCCUUGAUUCAGCGGCGGACGGGUGAGUAAUGCCUAGGAAUCUGCCUGGUAGUGGGGGACAACGUUUCGAAAGGAACGCUAAUACCGCAUACGUCCUACGGGAGAAAGCAGGGGACCUUCGGGCCUUGCGCUAUCAGAUGAGCCUAGGUCGGAUUAGCUAGUUGGUGAGGUAAUGGCUCACCAAGGCGACGAUCCGUAACUGGUCUGAGAGGAUGAUCAGUCACACUGGAACUGAGACACGGUCCAGACUCCUACGGGAGGCAGCAGUGGGGAAUAUUGGACAAUGGGCGAAAGCCUGAUCCAGCCAUGCCGCGUGUGUGAAGAAGGUCUUCGGAUUGUAAAGCACUUUAAGUUGGGAGGAAGGGCAGUAAGCUAAUACCUUGCUGUUUUGACGUUACCGACAGAAUAAGCACCGGCUAACUCUGUGCCAGCAGCCGCGGUAAUACAGAGGGUGCAAGCGUUAAUCGGAAUUACUGGGCGUAAAGCGCGCGUAUGUGGUUCGUUAAGUUGGAUGUGAAAGCCCCGGGCUCAACCUGGGAACUGCAUCCAAAACUGGCGAGCUAGAGUACGGUAGAGGGUGGUGGAAUUU
rnacentral:rRNA from 1 species